ensembl:lncRNA
CAAACAACCUUAUUUUACAUGGAAUCCCAGUUUCCUCUCCCUCCCAUCAUCCCAUGCUCCCCCACCAUCCACUCCCCAGGGAGAGUGAGGCCCUCCAUGGGGGAUCAUCUUGUGGAGAAAGGGGAACAUUCUUCUAUUGCUGGUGGGAAGCAAACUUGUACAGCCAUUUUGGAAAUCAGUAUGUUGGUUUUUCAGGAAAAUGGGUAUCAGUCUACCACAAGAUCCAGCAAUCCCACUCGUAGGCAUAUACCCAAAGGAUGCACAUUCCUACAACAAGGACAUAUGUUCAACGAUGUUCAUAGCAGCAUUAUUUGUAAUAGUCAGAACCUGGAAGUAGCCUAGAUGCCCCUCAACCGAAGAACAGAUAAAGAAAAUGUGGUACAUUUACACAAUGGAGUACUACUCAGUGGCAAAAAAAAAAAAAUGAAAUCUUGAAAUUCACAGGCAAAUGGAUGGAACUAGAUGAAACCAUUCUGACUGAGGUAACCCAGACACAGAAAGACAAACAUGGUAUGUGCUCACUCAUAUAUGGAUAUUAGACAUAGGGCAAAGGAUUACCAGCCUACAAUCCAAACCUCUAGGGGACCGUCUACUGCUGGUGGUGUCUAUUCCUGGAGAAGGGUACUCUGUAACUGGCAACUACUCUUUCGUUUUUGGCUCUGGAAAUGAUAGCUACUUCAAGCUCCUACGGCUUAGACUGCCCUGCCAUGAAACUAUAAUCCCUUUCUUCUUUAAGUAUCUUUUAUCCAUGGUACUCUGAUAUAACAAUGGGAAAGAAAUAAAGGAAGAAAACGUUAGCCGUUGCAAAGUGAAUUUUUAAUGUGAAGGCAUAAAAUUUGGAACAUAAGUGAAAUCAAAACACACCGAGAAUUACACUGUGCUACAGCCUGCGUUUCUUGUACCUUUUUGGAGUCAUAUUUCUUACAUUAAGAGACUUAAUAUGGUCAUGGCUAAGCUUGUGACAUGAGUCAAAAUAAGAUUUGUGAGGGCAUGAAGGAAGGAUAUUUACUGAAGAGCUGCACCAAUGGAAAGCCCAUUGCAGUAGGGAUAAGGACUCAACAACCACAUCACUGGACCUCCUGCGCUACCCGAAGCUCAAAACUGAAAGCAUUCCAAAGCUGAGUGAUGCUAGCACAACUUGAAGACAGUCCCCAUGAGCCAACUGAAGAGACCCUCAGAGAGAAGAGAUUCCCAAAUUGUGCCGGAUACUCAGAGAUUAGAGCAUGGUUGGCCAAUGGAAUGUCUCAAGUCCACCAGCUUUAUGGAAUCCCUCAUUUUGUUUUAAUCCCUUGAUGUAGACUUCUAAAUCCUCAUGCAAAUGAAGACUUAAGAAUAGAUCUCAGAGUGAAUAGAGGUCACAGAUGUACCAGAUCUGUCAAGUGCUAAGAAAGCUGGAACACUAUUGUAGUAUCUGUAUACUUUUAAGUUUUACAAAUCUGGAACCAGUGACAUUCUCUUUUUCACAAAGGUAACUGUUUACCACCACAGCCUCGUCUACAUAAUGUCCGUCAAAAGAGAAACUGUUGACAAAUGAACGUUUACACAAGGGGCAGCAUGAACAGUGAGCGACCACAAGCUUAUGAUGAAACUCAGCAGACAAGCAAAGAAAAUAACAUUAACUUGGGUUUCCUUAUAUGGUGGAAGUCUGCUCAUUUCAGACUUGUCAACAUGUGAAGAUACUGGAUUCUCUAAAGUAAAUCCAUUGGCAUCACCUGAAUCUUACUGCUGUUUAUACAAGCUCACUUUGCAUGGCUAACACAACAACACACAUGGCAUGUAUACUAAGAAUUAUGUUCACAUUUUAUAAGUAGGUAAUAAAAAAUUGGAAUUAAAUUUGAAGAUGAGAUGAAAGAUAGGGUCUUAUUGGCUUUUAUUUCAUUCUUAACGUAAUAUUUGAGAACAGACAUUUACAACAAAUUACAGAGUGAGGUAUUUAGUGAGU